rnacentral:lncRNA from 1 species
AUGAACAGACAUACUGAGCCAAAAAAGAUCAAAGUUAAUUUAUAUGGAGAGGAUGGAUUAUUACCAUCCAUCUUUGCUGCCUGCUUUUGUGGGUGUCCUCUGAAUACAAGGACUGUGUUGCAUCCCUGCUCUCCUUCAGCCAUCUCCAGAGCAGUCAACCUAAAGUUCCCUCAAUCAGAACCUAGGAAGAAGCCAGAACCAGCCAUAGUUAAAGCCCCAAGUAAGCCUCCUACUCAAUCAUUUCUUCACACACUGACUGAGGCUAUAUCCCCAGCUCCUCCUACCAGUAGAUCUCAAACUAGGAGCAACCCUCGACAGCUAAUCCCACUGCCAGUUUGGCCCCAGCCCUUUUGUUUCAAGGUCCCCAAAACUAAACCUCAAAGGAUUCACCAUCCUCCUCUUGCAUGUUUAGGUCCCAGAUUCCCAAAAUGGAAAGGGAAAAAAAAGUCCUCUUAGCCUCCGCUGUCAAUUUCUAAUCCCUUUAAAAUAAAGCACAGUAUUUGAUUCA